rnacentral:rRNA from 1 species
CGCGAAUCUUUACAAUGCACGAAAGUGUGAUAAGGAGCCUCCGAGUGCUUUCGGGAAACCGAAAGCUUUUGUCAAGUGUAGACAGCUUGAUGAAUAAGGACUGGGUAAGACCCGUGCCAGCCGCCGCGGUAAUACGGGCAGUCCAAGUGGUGUCCAUGUAUAUUGGGCUUAAAGCGUCCGUAGCCGGCUUAGCAAGUUUCCUGUUAAACUCAGCGACCUAAUCGUUGAAUCGCGGGAAAUACUACUAGGCUAGGAGGCGGGAGAGGUCGACGGUACUUCCGGGGUAGGGGUGAAAUCCUAUAAUCCCGGGAGGACCACCAGUGGCGAAGGCUGUCGACUAGAACGCGCUCGACGGUGAGGGACGAAAGCUGGGGGAGCGAACCGGAUUAGAUACCCGGGUAGUCCCAGCUGUAAACGAUGCGGGCUAGGUGUUGGGGUGGCUACGAGCCACUUCAGUGCCGCAGGGAAGCCAUUAAGCCCGCCGCCUGGGGAGUACGGCCGCAAGGCUGAAACUUAAAGGAAUUGGCGGGGGAGCAC